GACGAACGCUGGCGGCGUGCCUAAUACAUGCAAGUCGAGCGGCCGUAGCAAUACGGCAGCGGCAGACGGGAGAGUAACACGUGGGAACGCGCCCUUCGGUUCGGGAUAACUCAGGGAAACUUGGGCUAAUACCGGAUACGCCCUUAUGGGGAAAGAUUUAUUGCCGAAGGAACGGCCCGCGUCCGAUUAGCUUGUUGGUGAGGUAACGGCUCACCAAGGCGACGAUCGGUAGCUGGUCUGAGAGGAUGACCAGCCUCACUGGGACUGAGACACGGCCCAGACUCCUACGGGAGGCAGCAGUGGGGAAUAUUGGACAAUGGGCGCAAGCCUGAUCCAGCCAUGCCGCGUGGGUGAUGAAGGCCCUAGGGUUGUAAAGCCCUUUCAGCGGGGAAGAUAAUGACGGUACCCGCAGAAGAAGCCCCGGCUAACUUCGUGCCAGCCGCCGCAGUAAAAC
rnacentral:rRNA from 1 species